rnacentral:ncRNA from 1 species
GCCCUGCUUUUCCUCCCUGAGCGGGAGCCUUUCUGACGAGAGGCUUUUCAGCCCCUGGUCCUUGCGGAUCAGGGGUUUUCUUU